rnacentral:rRNA from 1 species
GAUGGAAAGCGGCGAAAGGGAGAGUAACACGCGGGUACCUACCCUCAGGACCGGGAUAGCUGCGGGAAACUGCAAUUAAUACCGGAUGAAGUCUCCGGACCAAAGGUGUGAUUCCGCCGGAGGAGGGGCCCACGUCCUAUCAGCUAGUUGGCGAGGUAAUAGCUCACCAAGGCUACGACGGGUACGGGGUGUGAGAGCAUGCCCCCGCUCACUGGGACUGAGACACUGCCCAGACACCUACGGGUGGCUGCAGUCGAGAAUCUUCCGCAAUGGGCGAAAGCCUGACGGAGCGACGCUGCGUGCGGGAUGAAGGCCUUCGGGUUGUAAACCGCUGUCAGUGGGGAGGAAAUGCAUGGGGGUUCUCCCUCGUGUUUGACCGAUCCGCAGAGGAAGCACAGGCUAAGUUCGUGCCAGCAGCCGCGGUAACACGAACUGUGCAAACGUUAUUCGGAAUCACUGGGCUUAAAGAGUUCGUAGGCGGCACGUUAAGUCGGGUGUGAAAUCCCUCGGCUCAACCGAGGAAUUGCGUCCGAAACUGGCGUGCUUGAGUGAGAUAGAGGUGAGCGGAACUGAUGGUGGAGCGGUGAAAUGCGUUGAUAUCAUCAGGAACACCGGUGGCGAACGCGGCUCACUGGGUCUCAACUGACGCUGAGGAACGAAAGCUAGGGGAGCGAACGGGAUUAGAUACCCCGGUAGUCCUAGCCGUAAACGAUGA